rnacentral:lncRNA from 1 species
UUUAUCUGCUGGUUCCCGAGAGUGGACUGUGCCUCCCCGCCACCUGUUGGCUCUCUGUUUAUCCUUAUUUUAUAAACCCCAUGGAAGCAGGCUAGGAUGUGAUCAGUGCCUAGUGGGGGUGGGGUGGGGGUUGGGUCACAGAGGAGGGGGGCGCAUGCCUUAGUCAUUCCUUUAGACAAUUGUGGAUUGGAAAAAAAAAGAUACAAAAACUCAACAAGUGGUUUGUACUUCUUCAAGUCUGACCAAGUUGGAGAAAGACUCCAGACUCUCUUCACCUUUCUACGCCAGUGCUCCAGCUUUACAGAAGGCUGAAAUAGGGCCAGGGCCAGGGCUCAGUGAGUAGAGGCAUUUGCUAAGAAGUCUGAUGACCUGAGUUUAGUCUCCACAUGGUGGAAGGAAAGAACAUUCCUGUGUGUUGUCCCUGUCCCUCCACACACUGCUAUCCACGUGUGUACACAUACACGUGCAGCGAGAAAAUAGACACCAAGAGGACAGGUGAUAUCCUAGCAACCAUCCUUUUCUGGUCUUAGGAGACACAUUCUACUCUUCUAGAAAACUGACCUCCUUGCCUCCCUACACACAAGGACUCGGUGGGCGGGGCACUAAGAGGUUCAAGGUAGAGAAAACUGGGUUACGGCUCAUUAGCAGAAAUAACAGCUAUUCCUGUUCUCAAACUUGACUGGAGGACUGAAGCAACCUGGGAGAGCUGGAGGAGCCAUGACUGGAUGUGAGGCUCCAUGUCUGGGAGCUCUGCAAUGGAGACAUAUGGCUCCUCGCUGGCCGAGUGCCUGGUUAUCUCGAUAGGAACCAUCUUUAGAAAUUAGACCUCCGGUGCCAGCAGAUAGAAGGUUCCAGGGCGUUGGCCCCACAGAACAGUAAUAAAGUAGGAGCAGGAUGAGCCUCUCCGAUUCAAAUCCUUCCUUCUCUGGAUGCCCUUCCUAGAUUAUCUUGUUGGUCUCUGCCAGCUUGGAAGAUAAAAAUACGUAUCUUAUGAGUCUAGUUGCAUUUAAAAAACAUCACUGGUACAUUUACAAAUAGUUCAUAUGCUUACUGGUCAUUUGUACUUACGUUGUACCACACAUCCAUGCUGGGUGCCCUGUUCUAAUGUCUUUUUCCUACUGAUUCCUGCUGCCAUGAAUCCUGAGACUAAUACUAUUGCAUUCUCCCAGUUUAUUAUGAGUCUAUUGUACAUUUCAUGUAAAAUAUUUUCAGUCAUGUUUUCAAAUCCUUCCUCUAUAAUGUCUGAUUUUUUUUUUUUUUGUUAAACUGGAAUUUGAUAAAUAUAAAACUCUAUC